rfam:Ixodes scapularis strain Wikel colony gcontig_1108378754522, whole genome shotgun sequence.
GACUUUAAGCGGCAGAUCACUCGGUUCCCGGGUCAGUGAAGAUGGCAGCAAGCUGCGAGACUUAGUGUCAAUGGUAGGACACACUGAGCACUUACUCUUUGAACGGAAAUUCCGACCUCGGUCCUUCCCGUGGCUGCGUCUGUGUGAGGGUGU